UACGUAGGGUGCAAGCGUUAAUCGGAAUUACUGGGCGUAAAGCGUGCGCAGGCGGUUAUGUAAGACAGGUGUGAAAUCCCAGGGCUUAACCUUGGAACUGCAUUUGUGACUGCAUAGCUAGAGUACGGUAGAGGGGGGGAUGGAAUUCCGCGUGUAGCAGUGAAAUGCGUAGAUAUGCGGAGGAACACCGAUGGCGAAGGCAAUCCCCUGGACCUGUACUGACGCUCAUGCACGAAAGCGUGGGGAGCAAACAGG
rnacentral:rRNA from 1 species